UGUAAGCGUAUACCAAAGUUGUUGCAGUUAAAACGCUCGUAGUCGGAAUUUGGCAGUUCCGGAAGUGUGCACGUCGUGUGCGCACUUUGCGGGGACUGCUUUUGUGGUCUUGCGUAGGAUGAGGCACUUUCAUUAGUGAACGUCCUCACGCAACCACUCUUUACUGUGAGAAAAUCAGAGUGCUCAAAGCAGGCAUUUGCCGUGAAUGUAUUAGCAUGGAAUAAUAGAAUAGGACUCGGUUCUAUUUUGUUGGUUUGUUGGGACUGAGUAAUGAUUAAGAGGGACAGUUGGGGGCAUUUGUAUUCCGGCGCUAGAGGUGAAAUUCUUAGAUUGCCGGAAGACAAACUGCUGCGAAAGCGUCUGCCAAGGAUGUUUUCAUUGA
rnacentral:rRNA from 1 species